rnacentral:rRNA from 1 species
GACGAACGCCGGCGGCGUGCCUAAUACAUGCAAGUCGAGCGGACUUGAUGGAGCUUGCUCCUGAUAGUCAGCGGCGGACGGGUGAGUAACACGUGGGCAACCUGCCUGUAAGACUGGGAUAACUUCGGGAAACCGGAGCUAAUACCGGAUACGUUCUUUUCUCGCAUGAGAGAAGAUGGAAAGACGGUUUCGGCUGUCACUUACAGAUGGGCCCGCGGCGCAUUAGCUAGUUGGUGGGGUAAUGGCUCACCAAGGCGACGAUGCGUAGCCGACCUGAGAGGGUGAUCGGCCACACUGGGACUGAGACACGGCCCAGACUCCUACGGGAGGCAGCAGUAGGGAAUCUUCCGCAAUGGACGAAAGUCUGACGGAGCAACGCCGCGUGAGUGAAGAAGGUUUUCGGAUCGUAAAACUCUGUUGUCAGGGAAGAACAAGUACCAUAGUAACUGAUGGUACCUUGACGGUACCUGACCAGAAAGCCACGGCUAACUACGUGCCAGCCGCCGCGGUAAUAC